UCCCACGUGGCACAAUUGGCUAGCGCGUGAGACUUUUACUUUGAAGGAGUUCGAGCCUCUCCGUGGGAG
rnacentral:tRNA from 1 species